GGAAGUUUUCGUGAAGCGACGGAGCCAUCAAAUUAUUUAGAAUCGUCAAGUCCCAUGCAAGAAGCACAGACUGGAAGAAAUCUGUAAGAAAGUACAAAAUAUUGUAUACAAUUUGUUAUUAUGGACAGCGUUAAUUAUUUGUAUUGCAUCUCGAGACACUUUUCAAAUUAAACACAAGCGAAAAGUAAAGCGCGUUUCAUUUGUCAACGAAACGAUUUCUCUCCAAAGACAUGCUUGCUCUUCGAUAGACCAAACAGUUCUGUCAUCGAAUCGUUUCGAUCGAGAGUUCGAGCGGAAAUGCUGAUUGGCUAAUUAGCGAGCGCAAAACCCAAUUAGUAUGCUCGUUGAACGUCAAUUCCGUCCAAAAUUCGAGCAGUCCUUUUCGGAGAAGGUCGUGAUAAAAAAGAUGUCAAGAAUAUCGGACGAACGCCAGACUUCGAGGCUUUUAUUUAUAACAGGUAUAAUAGAAUAUAGAGUUAGUCCUUUGCAUACGAGGAUCAUGAUCUCAUAACGAUCUUACACCGGUGACGCUGUGCGAUUUGGAAAGUAUAGACGUGUUUCUAAAACGAAAAUUUUAACUUCUUUUUGCGCAUCAAGCAGUAUAUAUAAAAAUUAUAAACAAGUUGAUAUUUAUUUUCUAAAAUUAGAAAUAUUACUAUUGCAGAUUUCCACCAUUUCAAAUGUAUAUUUCGCUCUUAAAAGCUGCCUUUACUGGCAAAUUCGGUUUUAAAAACGAUAUCUUUACUUUCUUACUUUAAAUAUAUUAUGUUCUAUAAAAUUAUCCAUAAAAAUUAAAAAUAAAGGUAAAAAUUAAACCUAAA